rnacentral:rRNA from 1 species
UAGGGAAUCUUCGGCAAUGGACGAAAGUCUGACCGAGCAACGCCGCGUGAGUGAAGAAGGUUUUCGGAUCGUAAAACUCUGUUGUUAGAGAAGAACAAGGACGUUAGUAACUGAACGUCCCCUGACGGUAUCUAACCAGAAAGCCACGGCUAACUACGUGCCAGCAGCCGCGGUAAUACGUAGGUGGCAAGCGUUGUCCGGGUUUAUUGGGCGUAAAGCGAGCGCAGGCGGUUUCUUAAGUCUGAUGUGAAAGCCCCCGGCUCAACCGGGGAGGGUCAUUGGAAACUGGGAGACUUGAGUGCAGAAGAGGAGAGUGGAAUUCCAUGUGCAGCGGUGAAAUGCGUAGAUAUAUGGAGGAACACCAGUGGCGAAGGCGGCUCUCUGGUCUGUAACUGACGCUGAGGCUCGAAAGCGUGGGGAGCAAACAGG